ensembl:lncRNA
UGCUCACUGAAGCCUGAUGCUGUUGGUAAUAUUUAAUCUGCCAAAACACAUUGUAUAUUAUCAUUCAGAUACAAAAUAACGUAUGGCUUUAACUCCCAGUGUAUUUGCAGGAGUAAAUCACUGGAUAUUUGCAAGAGGAUAUGAUUGUUGUUUAAUUUUUUACUUUGCUUGGCUUUUUAAACAUCAGUACAAAUUUAAUUUCAUAUUUGCUUUGAAUUAACCCUGCAAUUAAAAAGUAAGUGUUGAAAGUGGGUGCUAUGUGUGUAUGGGUUUGUGCAUAAAAGCAUUGCAUGGGAUAUCUUUGCGGAGAUUGCAGAUCAUCAGUUUUUGAGCUCGUGACUUAUUUUUUUAAAUAACCAAAAAACAUCAAAGCAAAUUAUGUUGAAUGAGAUGGAUAAGAAAAUUGGAUUUUACUGUUUGAGGGUUUAAUAAUAAUGAUAAUAUCCGCAGAAAAGUUAUUUUAGAAAAGCACUCCAAAAGGGAAUUAUGCAAACAAUAUUGGUGACCGCUUCACAAGGAAAAUGUAGGGUAACUCGGUGUGAUUUUUUUUUUCCCAAGGGGCAAUGCUUGUCUGCUUUUAUAUAUUCUGUAUAUUUAUAAGGAUAUCAGCCUCAUUAAUUUUAGCAUGUUACUGACAGACAGAUGCAUAUUUAUUUUUGUUUAUAUAUUUAUACAGUUAUUAAGUGUGAUAAAGAGAUAAUGAUGAUAAUACUAACAUUUGAACAUGUGUUAUGUGCCAUCACAAUGUCCAGUGCUUCUAAGUUAUUAUCACCAAUUUUUUUUAACAUAGCUGAGACCAUACAAUGUGGAAUCAAAUUUCAUGUGGGAGAGUGGUUUUGAUGAUUUGCAGAUCAGGGACCUAUUAGAUGGAAGAGCAGUCCUAAUGAAAUAUAAUUUUAAUACUGUGUUUUGUAUCAAGACUUAAACUAGCCUGAAAUAUGGACAAGAAACAUAUAUCCAACGUACUUGAAAAACAUUUGCCUCUUUCCCAUAUUUUAGUUUUGUUUUGUAGAUACUUUCUCACUGACAGUGAAAAUAUAAAUCUCAGCUCAGUCGUUUUAAUUUAAUGGCAAUUGAGUUCAUAUACUUUAAAGACUCAUGUAAGUUUAUCUCUAUUGCAUUUAGGGAAGUAUGUUUUCCAAUGGUUUGCUUUAUCUCAUACGUUUUGAAAAUAUAUAAGAAAUAGCUUUAAAAAUUCCAUGAGCACUUGUCAAAGUGCGUUCCCCAUAUAGUAAUUCAGUAUGCUACUGCCUUAGCAUUGCUAAUUGCUGGGUAACACUUUAUCCCAACAAAUCAGUGGUUUAAAACAACAGUGGUUAUUGUCUCAUAGUUGCUGUGAAUCGGGCAUCCAGGUAUGGCUUAGCUGGAUUCAAUAGUUCAAGGUGUCUCUCAAAUAGCUGCAAUCAAGGUGUUAGCUGGGGCUACAGUCCUCCUAAGCCUUGACUUGGGGAAGACCCACUUUCAAGUUCAUUCACAUGAUGGUUGGCAGGGUUUAGUUCCCUACUGGCUAUUAGACAGAGGCUACCCACAGUUCCUUGUCAAAUGGGCCACAAUGUGAUACAUGGCUGCACCAGACUGGGCAAGUCAGGAAGCGAGAGAGGGAGUGCUAAGGAGAUAGAAGUCACAAUGUUUUUCUGUAAGUGUUUCUUUAGCAUUUUUCCUCACAUUUUAUUUAGUUUUCCAGAUACUAAAGGUUGAAAGAAUUGCACAGUGAAUAUCCACCACCCAGAGUCUACAAUUAUUUUUUUUGUUUAAAUUUUAUUCAAAGGAGAAAACAUUGAUUAAACAACAUUAAUUGAAAAGUCGGCUUGUGAAAUAUGAAACAGACUGAUGUCAGACUUGUACUGACAGAACUAUUGUAGAAUAACUUUCCCAGUUUGCAUUUUACCGGUGUGGUAGAUUGUAAUAUUGUGUUUAAUUCUUCAGCUCGCUCUAUAGCUGUGUUAUUUGUUGUGUGCCUUUCCAGUUUUUCUUAAUAAAGGAAUAAAACAUUUUAAAGAGUCAGUAACUGUGACAUUGAUACCAAAUGUCAAUUUUGUCAAAUACACCUCUUUUUGUACAGCUAAGGCUAACUUAAUUCUCUCUCUCUCUCUUUUUUUAACCUUUUCACUCCCUUCACUCAUUUCUCCCACCCCCACCCCUUUCUCUAGCAACCACUAAUCUGUUCUCUGUAUCUAUGAGCUUAGUAAUUUAUAAUCUAAUUUUGGAAGUGACACCCCAUCAUCUUUGUCGUAUUCUCUUCAUUAGAAGCUGAUCACUAGAGCCAGCCAACACUCAAAGGGAGAAAGUACCCAAGUGCACAAAAAUCAGGGAGUUGGAGUCACUGAGAAACAUCUCAGAAAGUCUCUAUCACAGGGAACAGUGCUAUGAGAGUUUGAACAUCAAAACGUUGCAAAAUUCCAGGGUUAGAUCAGGUUUUUCACAGGACAUUUCAAAGUCUUGAGCAGGUUCCUUGCAUUGUGAAUCUCCAAGUGGGAAGGGACGGGGGCAAGAACAUGGAGUGAUGAUUCUCCGUCCUGUUUGGUCCACGGGAUCCUUUUUGUUGAAGGGUGAUGUGUUCAACUAUCCCUCCUCAGAAUAUUUGGAGAACCACUGCCACACAUCUUCACUUAACACACCAUGGUACCAAGGACUGGAGAGUUGCCUGGCCAUUGGUGGCGGAAUAUGGGGUCACUGCAGGUCUCCUGAAGCUCUGAGGCUUAUCAAAUUGCCACAGGCUUAUUUAUGCCACACUGUGAUGACUUCUGUGGUUCUCUUCUUCAUCCACUGCUGGAAGCAUAAGCUGUAUAAGCGAGAGAGAGUAUAGGACUUGGUGUUGAGGCCAUCUGUAUGAGCUGUUGGGAGCCAGCCAUCAAGUGUAUCCACCCCCAGAGGUGGUCCUCUCCCUUCAGCCUCUGGAGAUGGCAAAAGCCAGGUGGUGGCUCAUUCUGCCACUUACAUCCUCACUCCCUCUCCCCCAUCCUUGUAGGAGUUGAAUAAUCACCAGUCUCCACUUUACUCUAGAAAGGAAGUUGUCCCACUUCACUUUUUAAAAGGUUGUCAACUGUUGCAGGAAACAUCUUAACUCAACAUUUUUAUUUUUUGCCCAUGUCCUUCCUUUAAAAAUGAAUCUUCGGCUGUGUUGCAACAGUUCAUGUAUGGAAGGACUACAUUACUCUUUAACUUCUUGUUUGGACCUUUAAGAACCUAUCUACUUGGUUCUCGGAGGCCUAGACAUCAUGUGUGUCUACUUAUCCAUCACUAGUGCUGCAGGAUGCAGUGUCCAGGCAUCUUUCUAAAUGGGUUCUGGUAGAAUGUCAUGGGUGGGGUGGGGCAUAAGCAUAGUUAUUGCUAAGUUACAGUUAAAUGUCUGAACACAUUAAAUUUUUUCUGUUGCAUUUCAGCCUGAAAAGUAUUCACCUUCCAGUUUUCUGCCCCUUGUGAGAAGUAUUUUGCAUGUUUCUGAAGGUAUGUUUGUGUGUGUGUGUGUGUGUGUAAUGUGUGUGUGCUUUGUCUAUUGAUGUGUUUAUGCUUCUUUCUUCCUCAUGAUUCCUGUAAUUUUAUUAGCCAUUCUUUCAGUAAAAUAAGACUCAACAUGACACCGUGUGAGUCUUAUAAAACAAGUCACCAGAAAUCUAGAAAAAGUUCUUGGUGAAAUAUUGUUUUAGUAUUAAUCUGUGGGUGGUUGAUGCAUGUGGAACUUUACCUCGAUAAGGUAUUAGAAACUAUAAUGAAUUCUAGUGCUUGCUCCUGAUGCUUUUGAAAAUUCUUUAUUUCUCCAUUAAUGUCUUUUGAAUGAGCAGAUGCUUCUCUGUGCUCAUAUUGGUUCAUGGUCAAUUCAGCAAUUGAUAUCGUAGCCCACAUAUGUCUGUGUGUGUGCAUAUAGAUGUGUUUACAUCUGUAUGUGUGAUAUGUGCAUAUACAUAUAUGAUAUAUGUGCAUAUCUAUAUGUGUGAUAUGUACAUGUAUAUGUGAUAUAUGUGCAUAUAUAUGUGUGAGAUAUAUAUAUAAAUGUGUAUAUCAUAUAGCUCAAUACAUUAGAGAAAGAGAUUAAGUUAAAAUAAAAAUAUCAGAUCACUGACAGCAGACAGUAUGCCCAGAACUUGUGGUGACUUCAGCAUUAUCAGAAUGUUGAUAGCAUUACAUCUGUUGUAUCUGAAAAGUGCCAGAUAUGGUGCUAAUUUAUAAUGGAGGAGGAGGAGGUGAAGAAAGAUAAGGCAAUGAAAAAUAGUACACAGUAGGAGAUAGUCGACUAAAUAGUAGUUUGUUAAGUUUUUUUCACACCAUAUAACAAAGUACUGUCACAGACUUCUGGCUUGCUUUAUAAAUCAACUGUGUCUAAUGCUCAUCUAUACUUCAUGUGGACUUCUCUAAAUAGAGCCUUUCCCUUUUGUCUUACAGAAGCAUUUUUUUGUUUGUUUGUUUCUAAGUGUUACGUGGUCUGGUCCAAGGAUCUGAGUGCAGCCAUGGAAUAAAAGAAGGCUUCUCGCUACCACUGAACUUUUCAAGGCCAAGGGCAGGGCAUCAGGCAGAAAACUAAAGGGAAAGACAGCAUCAUAGAGGAAGAACAGAGAAAAAGAUGCAGACAGUAGGGAACGGUCGAGAAAAUGAUGCUUAGAGUUAUCAUAGAUGCGACUCAGUGUUUAAAACCUUAAAUGCUUCCAUCGCUGAGAAGUUUAAACAUUAAAAUUAAAAAAUAUAUCUUUCCUUUUUCCUUUAUUUGCAUUCCUUUUACUUGCCCUCUGACUCUAUUACCAAUAUAUGUUUUUCUUUCUUUCAUAAGUUUUUAUUGACAAUUUAGAGUAUAUGAUUAAAACCACUAGGUUGGGCAGAGUAUGCGGUCAAGACAAAAAGCAGCAAAGGUUUACAGGAUGUCUAGAUGUAGUCUUAAGGACAGAGAGAGUUGGUACCUGCCUAUUCAGAAUACUUUCAAAAUCCUGAGAAGGGACCCUGCCCCCACCCCAGUCUUCCUUUAUAGCUAGAUGUUCUU